rnacentral:rRNA from 1 species
GGAUCCAGACUUUGAUCAUGGCUCAGGACGAACGCUGGCGGCGCGCCUAACACAUGCAAGUCGAACGAGAGAGAGGGAGCUUGCUUCCUCGAUCGAGUGGCGAACGGGUGAGUAACGCGUGAGGAACCUGCCUCAAAGAGGGGGACAACAGUUGGAAACGACUGCUAAUACCGCAUAAGCCCACAGCUCGGCAUCGAGCAGAGGGAAAAGGAGCAAUCCGCUUUGAGAUGGCCUCGCGUCCGAUUAGCUAGUUGGUGAGGUAACGGCCCACCAAGGCGACGAUCGGUAGCCGGACUGAGAGGUUGAACGGCCACAUUGGGACUGAGACACGGCCCAGACUCCUACGGGAGGCAGCAGUGGGGAAUAUUGCACAAUGGGGGAAACCCUGAUGCAGCGACGCCGCGUGGAGGAAGAAGGUCUUCGGAUUGUAAACUCCUGUUGUUGAGGAAGAUAAUGACGGUACUCAACAAGGGAGUGACGGCUAACUACGUGCCAGCAGCCGCGGUAAAACGUAGGUCACAAGCGUUGUCCGGAAUUACUGGGUGUAAAGGGAGCGCAGGCGGGCGAUCAAGUUGGAAGUGAAAUCCAUGGGCUCAACCCAUGAACUGCUUUCAAAACUGAUUGUCUUGAGUAGUGCAGAGGUAGGCGGAAUUCCCGGUGUAGCGGUGGAAUGCGUAGAUAUCGGGAGGAACACCAGUGGCGAAGGCGGCCUACUGGGCACCAACUGACGCUGAGGCUCGAAAGUGUGGGUAGCAAACAGGAUUAGAUACCCUGGUAGUCCACACCGUAAACGAUGAUUACUAGGUGUUGGAGGAUUGACCCCUUCAGUGCCGCAGUUAACACAAUAAGUAAUCCACCCGGGGAGUACGACCGCAAGGUUGCAACUCAAAGGAAUUGACGG